rnacentral:snoRNA from 1 species
UGCAAUCUGUGAUGAAGAUUUUGUCAUUCUAUAUGAUUAACAAGUGAUUAUGUAAAACAAAUUCACCAUCUUUCGACUGAGAUUGCU